rnacentral:rRNA from 1 species
GAUGAACGCUGGCGGCGUGCCUAAUACAUGCAAGUAGAACGCUGAAGCUUGGUGCUUGCACCGAACGGAUGAGUUGCGAACGGGUGAGUAACGCGUAGGUAACCUGCCUCUUAGCGGGGGAUAACUAUUGGAAACGAUAGCUAAUACCGCAUAAAAGUCGAUAUCGCAUGAUGUUGAUUUGAAAGGUGCAAUUGCAUCACUAAGAGAUGGACCUGCGUUGUAUUAGCUAGUUGGUGAGGUAACGGCUCACCAAGGCGACGAUACAUAGCCGACCUGAGAGGGUGAUCGGCCACACUGGGACUGAGACACGGCCCAGACUCCUACGGGAGGCAGCAGUAGGGAAUCUUCGGCAAUGGGGGCAACCCUGACCGAGCAACGCCGCGUGAGUGAAGAAGGUUUUCGGAUCGUAAAGCUCUGUUGUAAGAGAAGAACGAGUGUGAGAGUGGAAAGUUCACACUGUGACGGAACUACCAGAAAG